rnacentral:lncRNA from 1 species
GAAUCUCCAAUGGCUGAGAUAUUGGUAAGUUUAGCCGCUUUUUUACUUUAAUUUCUAAGUUUGAUGCUUGGCUGGUCGUACUGCAAUUUCUGAGAUUGAUAAGCCUAUCUAGGUCCAGUGAAUAAUAUAGUUAAUAAUUGACAUAAAUCCUGUCUGUAUCAUGGUAGCAACUAGCAGUUAAAGAAACUAUUAAGUUUGGCAGCUUCUUGGUUUAGAGAUAAUGGUGGUGGAGCCAAUGCAAUAAGAAAUGCAUUCUUUAAAAUAAGCCACUGAUUAAUAAAACAGAAAACUAUUGGACACUUUAAAAAAGAAAAUUAGGGUGAAGCUGAAUCUUUAUUCUUAUGAGGUAACAGGAGGAUUUCUUGUUGUCACAGUUCAAACCAAAAAUAUUCUAAGACCAUGCAUAAAUGAAUCAAUAAACACCCUCCUCCUAGGAAUUGUGAGAUUAAAUAAUAAAUUCAUACAGCUUUUUCUUAGCAGACAGCCUGUUUUUGUUUCUUAUUUUAUUCAAAGGUUUGAAUUUUCUAGUUCAAAUAAUGCCUCCUAUGAUUUGAUAAUAUAUUAAUCUUCAUUUUGCCAUGAUUUGUCUUUGUCAUCAACCAAAUUAUUCGGUUGAAUUAAUUGAUAACUCAUUCGAUUGGGUUGUGGCUUAAUUAAUAUUACUAUUUAUUUAAUUUUAAAUCUGUUUUUCAAAUAUUGAAACACAUGCUUUUCACUAAAUUGAUUAAUUAAUCCCAAUCCAAAAUUUUUAACAUUGGAGCUUACUAUGAAAGCUGUUUUGAUAUAUAUUUAAUGGGAUUAUAAUUUUUUCACUAGUAUCAAGGGACUUGUUUUGAGAGAAGCUUUUCAACCUUAAAGUAUCGUGUGUUGGUUCCCCCUCAAUGAUGGUCUUGUUCAUGCUGGGUUUUGUCUCCCGCUUCUCCUGAAAAGUCUUGAGGAGUUUCGGCUGGUAUUAUCUAUACCCAUAAAUGUUAUAUAAAGAUUUAGGUUCAAACCUCCUUAUAAGACCAAAUAUUUACAUUCUUUUAGUGGGUG